rnacentral:rRNA from 1 species
CGGACGGGUGAGUAACACGUGGAUGACCUACCUAUAAGACUGGGAUAACUUCGGGAAACCGGAGCUAAUACCGGAUAAUAUAUUGAACCGCAUGGUUCAAUAGUGAAAGACGGUUUUGCUGUCACUUAUAGAUGGAUCCGCGCCGCAUUAGCUAGUUGGUAAGGUAACGGCUUACCAAGGCAACGAUGCGUAGCCGACCUGAGAGGGUGAUCGGCCACACUGGAACUGAGACACGGUCCAG